rnacentral:rRNA from 1 species
UACGUAGGGUGCGAGCGUUAAUCGGAAUUACUGGGCGUAAAGCGUGCGCAGGCGGCGCGUUAAGACAGGUGUGAAAGCCCCGAGCUUUACUUGGGAAUUGCGCUUGUGACUGGCGUGCUGGAGUGUGGCAGAGGGAGGUGGAAUUCCACGUGUAGCAGUGAAAUGCGUAGAGAUGUGGAGGAACGCCGAUGGCGAAGGCAGCCUCCUGGGCCAGCACUGACGCUCAGGCGCGACAGCGUGGGGAUCAAACAGG